AUGGGAGUGGGAGACGUGAAGGUUUUUCAGAAAACAAGGAAGUGUUAUAUGAAACAGGUGUUUUUUCAUUACAUCUCAGAGCACCUCCCCACAACGCAUGCCUCUCCAUCGUCCAAGAUAGGAAGGCUGGCUAAGUGGAGACACCCCGACACCCAAAAUCCAGUUUUACAUUUUUUUAAAAAAAAAUUUAAGCUUUGUAAAAGGUUGCAAGCAGCAUUACAGUUUGUUCUUGUUGUCUCUGGCUUAGGACUGGGCAUCCUUGUGAAAUGUUGUGUUCCUGCGACUUUGAAGCCCAAAGAUUUUGCUCCCCUGUCAGGGCUGGGGAUAAAACCAGAUCUGCCCGCCUGCCACCCGCCAUCCAAACACAGACGCUUCCUGUGCCCACUUUUUCUCUCUUUCUCUCAAUGCCCAGUGGAGACCCUCUAUGCUUUGCCUCUCUUUCCCCCCCUCGCCUUAGCAUUGCACAGACAGAAUGUUAAUUAGCAUCCACGAUUUAAUUAAUUCAGCUGCCAAUUAGUGCUAUAGAGAGGGGGAGGGGCCCGAGCUACCGACGGGGGGGGCACAGAUGGUUCUUUAUGGGCUGGCACCGUGCCACUUUCAACAGCGGAUUGUAGGGUGGCGAGAGGAGAAGCGAAGGACUCCAGUUUUUGUGUGUGUGUAUGUGCGUGCGUGCGUGCCUCUGUACGGAUUGAGGUGGGCGGGUGGGUGUUUCUUUGCCGGUAGGGACACCAAGCUUGCCCCCCCCCCACAUGCACUCAUCACCCACCCUGGGUUUUCCCCCAUGGCCACGCCACCGCGCAGCUGUAGUUGGCAUAAAAGAAGUGGGCACCUGCUAUAAAGGAGAUAGAUAGACUGGGUGCUAGAAGGAGGUUGGCGCAAGAAACGGAGAGAUAGAGGAAGAGGGAAAGGAUAGGAUGAUAGGAAAAGACCAAAAAAAAGAGGAGAGAGUAGAAGGAUAACAUUGCCCAGAGGUAUGAGAAGAGCAAGAGAGCAGGGACGGGGGGACGGGGGGGGGAGAGAGAAAGUCAGAGGAUGGAUAGAAGGGGAAAGCCGGUGCUAAAAAGAAAGAAUGGAGGGAAAGGUUUGGGGAGAGGGGAGAGAAAAUAAAGGAGGUGGCAUAUGCCA
rnacentral:lncRNA from 1 species